rnacentral:rRNA from 1 species
AUACGGAGGGUGCAAGCGUUAUUCGGAAUCACUGGGCGUAAAGGACGCGUAGGCGGGUUGGCAAGUCAGAUGUGAAAUCCUACAGCUUAACUGUAGAACUGCAUUUGAAACUGCUAACCUAGAGUAUGGGAGGGGGAGAUGGAAUUAGUGGUGUAGGGGUAAAAUCCGUAGAUAUCACUAGGAAUACCGAAAGCGAAGGCGAUCUCCUGGAACAUAACUGACGCUAAGGCGUGAAAGCGUGGGGAGCAAACGGGAUUAGAUACCCUAGUAGUCC